rnacentral:lncRNA from 1 species
AAAGAUAUGUGAGUUAGAAUUCCAUUUUAGAAACUAUAUUUCAUCGUUCCAAUUCCUUCUUUUAUAUUUGAGUCUCAUGUAUUUAAUAUACAUAUGAAAGAAUUCACAUACUCCAAAUACUUGUCCUUUCAUGUUUGAGAAGAAUCAUACUCCAAAUAGGAUAUUAAACCUUUUCUUUUUUAUCUAUAUUGGUUCAGAAUCAAGUUUUAGAUAGAGAUCUCUAUUUCUUACUCUUAACUCUUUUUUCAUGUCAAAUUUUUUCUUCAAUUUUUCUUCUUCUAUCAUAGUAUUUCAUCUUCAUCUUAAUCAACUUCUUCUCAAAUUCAACAAGUUUUCUAAUAACAUUCUCAAAAUGAAUUUUGAAUUUAUCAAAUGAAACUUGAGUAGACAUCAAAAAUUCACCGUAAAUAUUUUUCUAACUACAUCUCGAUAUUUUGGUGCUUUAUUUCUUAUAUACAAGGUUUUUCACUUUUUUCAAUUUACUUAACAACUUACUCUCAAUCUCAACUUUUUUUCUUCAUUCAUCUUUUUUUUCACUUAUUAUUUUUUUCAAAAUCCUCUUUCUCACUUUCUUGGCAUUAAUCUUCUUAUGGAGUUUAUUGUCCAACACUUAUUUGUAUUGCAACUUGAAUUAUCUACACUGAUACAUGCAUAUUCUUCAUUUGACCGAGCAUCCAACUAUUUUGAUAGUUGUUUGAUUUGCAUUAUCAAGUUUUUAUCGUUGGCUUUAAAAAAUUUGUUGGAAGUAUCCUAAGAAAUUCCCAUGGCUUUCGAGCAUUCUUGCAUCAUCUGCAUGAAUUGAAUCAUAAUUUCUUCUAAAAUGGAAGGUUCCUCAUUUGUUGUUGUUCAUGAGAUUAUUUUUAAUAUUGUUGUCCUUCAGGAUUUCAGACUUUCCUCUAAGUAUUUCUCCAUUCAAAAUUUGGCUCGUCUUUCCAUCCCAUAUUAUUUGUGUCAACACUAUUAGAAUUAUAAAUUUUGUAUUACUUUCUUAUUAUAGUCAUUUAUCCGACUGAAAUAAUAUCUUUUUAUUAGGCAUUUUUUUAAUAACUUUUUCCAAUGGUUCAAAUUAACAGAAAAUUUAUGAUUUUUCUUUACAAAAAGGGCAUGUUCCCUUAAUUUCUAUUUUUAAGUAAAAAGUAAACUACUUUUCAUCCCGGUCUAAAGUAACAACCGUGGUAAAAUGUUAGGGACAUUUCAACACGAUUGUUUCUAUCAACCGUGGUGAACAUUUUUAUCCAUAUAAACUAAACUUUAUUCAUUUCAGAAUAGACUCUGUCCUAAUUCCAUAAGUAAAACUCUAACCUCUCAUACCUUAUCUCAAACUCACAAAAUUAAAACAUAUCUUCAAAAAAAUCUAACAUAAUUUGUCCAACUAGUAUGAAUCAAGAAAAUGUGUCACUAAUUUUUACAAGAUGGAAACAUGAAACUCAUUUCUUAUUUUUCCUCUUCACAUUUUCGGUACGUGCGUAAAAUAUUUUUCACCAUUCGUUUUAUGAGUUAUGUUAUUGUUAUUGUUAAAAUAACUUGUCCUUUAGAUUUGUUGUUUUUCAUAUUGUAGAGACACUAAAUCAUAUAUGUAAAUUAUUAUUUUUUGCUGAGUUAUUUUCUUAUUUUUGUUUAGCUAAUAAAAGGUUUUUAGUUAUUCUUUUGUUGUUAAGAUUGUUAGAACAAGAUUUGGUUCUGCAUCUAUACCUUGAGGUUUGAUGACAACAAUAUUGUAUUUGUAUACCUUGUGUGAGAAUAAUUUUGGUACUCUAAUGUCUUGUUAUUGUGUAGCUUUAAUAGUCAGUUCUUAUUCUAAGUAUCUGACGUGCAACGUCAUCAGUUUCUGAAUAUUGUGUUCUAAGUUCCACUUUUGCGCUAAUCAUGAGAAGUUGUGAAAGAUAUCAAGUUGUUGCUGCAAUAUUCUUUCCGCUUCUAUAUUGAUUCACUCUUGAGAAGUUUCUGAAGAGACACUAUGUUGCUGCUAUAACAUUCUCUUCGUUUCUGCUUUUGGAUGUGACUCUAAUCAUCAAACUUCUGAAGAAUGGCAAGCUUCUGAAGUUUUGUUACUUAACUGAAGAUUCUGAAGAUCUCAAGUCAGACUGCUGACGCUGUCAAGAUUCUACUGAAGAUUCUGAAGUUUCUGAAUUCAGCUGUGUGUUUCUUCUUUUCAUGAUUCAUCAACUUUCAUCAGAAGCCAAUGAAUUUGAAGAUAAGAUAAAAAUGGAUAUGUGAUCAAAUAGUACAUGGUACUAAUCAAAUAUUUCUUCAUCUAGCUGAUAUGAUGGGUAAAGGACAAUACUAUACAUCAUACAUAUCACUAAAAUCAUGGGUGAAGGAUUGUAUUAUGUAUCACUCCUUUCACCAAUCCAACAAUGGACAGCCGCUCUUCUUGGUAUCCCAAUUUUUCCCUUCAACAAUCUCUUUUUCAUGCUAUAUAAAUAGGACUUGGAGCCUUGAAGAAAAGAUACUGCAACAAUUUCAUAAGACUGUUUUCUACGUGAAAAGAUAUAGACUUUAUUCAUACUUUUCUUUAAGUGUUUGUUUUUCAUUUGUGUAAAAAUAUGCUUGUGUAGAAGUAUCUUGUAAACACAAAACCUUUGAUUCAAACUGUUGUUUGUGAUUCCUUAAGGAUAGUAGGUUAUAGUCGGAUCCUUGAGAAGACAAAGAAGGUUAUUCUUUGUGAUUAUUGUAAUAAGUUGAUUAUAUUGGAUUAAGUCCUUGUGUAUAAGACAAAAUCACCUUGGCGGA